rnacentral:rRNA from 1 species
GACGAACGCUGGCGGCGUGCUUAACACAUGCAAGUCGAACGAUGAAGCCGGAGCUUGCUCUGGUGAAUUAGUGGCGAACGGGUGAGUAACACGUGAGUAACCUGCCCUUGACUCUGGGAUAACUGCGGGAAACUGUAGCUAAUACCGGAUACGACCCUCGGAGGCAUCUCCUGGGGGUGGAAAGAAUUUCGGUCAAGGAUGGACUCGCGGGCUAUCAGUCAGUUGGUGAGGGAAAGGCGCACCAAGGCGACGACGGGGUGCCGGGCUGAGGGGGGGACCGGGCACACUGGGGACGGGGCACCGCCCAGACUCCUUCGGGAGGGAGGAGGUGGGGAAUUUGGACCAUUGGGGGAAACCUUGUUCAGCAACGGCGCGGGAGGGGUUACGGCCUUCCGGUUGUAAACCCCCUUUUGCAGGGAAAGAGCGAAAGGGACCGUAACUGCCGGAAAAGCACCGGCUAACUACGUGCCAGCCGCCGCGGUAA